UGAAAAGAUAAAUCGGAAAAUGUGAGUUAGUUUUAUACAAACCAUUUAACACUUCCUGAAGGGAUCUUUGAAUGAACAGAAAGCCCUAUAUUCAGGUUAUCCUUCAAACAAUCAUUAUUUCCUAGAUAGAAAAGAGUCGUACAUCAGCAAUGAAUUUCCUCAAUUAUCGCCGGGGUUUUUUAUCAUACUACGGCUCAUAUAACUAUCAAAAAUUAGCAUUACCAGUUGCUCUUGAUUCUUGUUUUUCUCGAUUUUGAAUUUUUUGUUAUGCAUUGUCUGUUAACUAUGCGUGAAAUAUCUGUUCUUUUAGAGAUUCGUUUGAUUUUUAGUAAAAUAGUAUUUACUUGCUUUAUUU